UAGGGAAUAUUGGUCAAUGGACGCAAGUCUGAACCAGCCAUGCCGCGUGAAGGAUGAAGGUCCUCUGGAUUGUAAACUUCUUUUAUCUGGGACGAAAACGGGAUUUUUAUCUCAAUUGACGGUACCAGAGGAAUAAGCACCGGCUAACUCCGUGCCAGCAGCCGCGGUAAUACGGAGGGUGCGAGCGUUAUCCGGAUUUACUGGGUUUAAAGGGUGCGUAGGUGGGCUUAUAAGUCAGUGGUGAAAUCUCCGAGCUUAACUUGGAAACUGCCGUUGAUACUAUAGGUCUUGAAUUAUCUGGAGGUGAGCGGAAUAUGUCAUGUAGCGGUGAAAUGCUUAGAUAUGACAUAGAACACCAAUUGCGAAGGCAGCUUACUACAUAUAAAUUGACGCUGAGGCACGAAAGCGUGGGGAUCGAACA
rnacentral:rRNA from 1 species